rnacentral:rRNA from 1 species
CCUACGGGAGGCAGCAGUGGGGAAUAGUGGGCAAUGGGCGCAAGCCUGACCCAGCAACGCCGCGUGAAGGAAGAAGGAAUUCGGGAUGUAAACUUCUGUUAAGAGGGAAGAGAAGAAGACGGUACGUCUAGAAAAAGCCAAGGCAAAAUACGUGUCAGAAGGCGCGGAAAGACGUAGGGGGCAAGCGUGGUCCGGAUUGAGUGGGUGUAAAGGGCGUGCAGCCGGGAGGACAAGUCAGAUGUGAAAUGCCGGGGCUCAACCCCCGAACUGCAUUUGAACCUGUUUUUCUUGAGUACCGGAGAGGUCAUCGGACUUCCUUGUGUAGCGGUGAAAUGCGUAGAUAUACGGCAGAACCCCAGUGGCGCAGGCGGCUCACUGGACUGCAACUGACGGUGCGGCGCGAAAGCGUGGGGAGCAAACAGGAUUAGAUACCCCUGUAGUC